UCCUACGGUUAAUUAAAAAGCCCCUUUUCCGAGGUGGGUGUGCCCAGGGGUUUGCUGGCACCACGGCUCUUCUGGUGCCCAUCCAUGAAUUCUGUGGCCCUGGGAAGGCACCACAGAAUUCUGAGACCCAAAGUGAGUUGGGGGAAAUUGCACAUUGGACACAAUUCGACACCCACAGAGAGCUGGAGACGCUGCCAGGGAUGGACAUCCCAUCCACAGGGAUGUGUGUUUUCCAGAGGAACCUGGGAGGUGUAAACAAGAGGUUUGUAAACCCAGGAGGUGGGGAAAGAAAAGCCAAGAGUACCAGAGUCGUGCCUGCUCUGAGGAACCAACAGAAGCUGCUGAUCCCUGUGGUCCCAGCUCACUGCUGGACAGACUGGUGGUGGAAUUGCAAGGGAACCCCCUUGGAGCCUCACAGCCCCCCCAGAGCCAGCCUGCCUGACCUGUGGACUUAAAUAUCCCAGGAAACACCUGCUGGAAGGUGUCAGCCAGCACCUCACGAAGCUGCAGGUCCAGAAAUCUUUAAACAGGGAAGAAUAAUCAGUAGUUCUUCAAGCUCAGGCAGCACCUCCCACCUGAGAGUGGGUCCCAUUUUCCCAGUUGUGGAGGGGUAGGAUCCAUCCCCCAGCACCUCCCAGGAUGGACAAACAGGGAAUGCAGUGUGGUGGAAGUGCCCAUGGCCAGACACCUCCUGCUGAUCUGUGAUGGGCCGUGAAGGUGUGAGGGCCCCCACUCCUGCACUGCCGCUCUCCCCCCUCUCUGAGGGUUCCUCCAGCUGGAGGUGGUCUGGAAAGGGGCAGGUCAGCCCUGCCUGGCUGUGCCCCCUGACCCCUGCCAGCCCCCAGCCCUGACCCCUGCUCCCCCUCGCUCUCCCCUCGCCCUCUGCGCUGUCCGGGUCCUUCCCCUCCUGUCCCCUCCUUUCAUCCUGCCGGGAUGGAGCAGCAGCUCCGUGUGUGUCCAGGGGCUGGAUGGAGGCAGGAGCCAGGGGCCCCUGGCAGUGUUUUGGGGGGCAGGAGGAAGGGCAGAGCCCUGCUGUAGCUCACAACUAAAUGCUGCCUUUCACUCCAGCAUUCCCAGGGAAAGUAAUGAGAAUAAUUAAAGGUAAUUUCAUUUAUUUCAGCUCCAGCGUGUAAAGCAGAUGGGGGUGGGGGUUUCAGCCUCUCACUGAAGAAGGGGAGGGCAGAAAGCAGAGCCCCAGUGCCGAGCUGCCUUCAAGGGUUACAGGGAUGCCCUUUUCCCUCCUGGGACCACGGUUCCUCUCUCUGAACCCGGCUGUUCCUGCGGCUCACCUGGAAGAGGAGAUCCCACAGUGUCCUGGGGAUGCUCAGUGAGUGGUUCUAGGGGGGAAAGGAUGGUCCCAGAGGGAGCCUUCCCCUUGAGAAGCCUGUGCUGGAUGGACCUGUGGAAUUACCCUGGAGAGAAGCACGGAGCAGGGAGAGCUUCCCUGGAGCUGGGCUUUCCCCCUCCCGUGCACAGGGAACACAGAGUGAGGCUCAGCCCAGCCUGGCGAGGUGCAGCCAUGCCUGGGAGCCCCCUCAGAGCAGGACCCAUGGUUCUGGGGAGCCAGAACCCCCAGAAAAUUGUCACGGGCACUUCCACCAUCCUGAUUCCAGCAAAUCAGAGCUGGGAUCCAGAGCAGGACUUUAAGGGGCUGUUAGUCCCACAGAUACCCUGCCUGGAGGGGCCUCAGUGGGUGGUGAUGAUGCUGAGCUGGGUCAUUUGGAGCCCAUAAAGCACCCAGGGCACAGCUCCUCCAGCAGCACCUUUCAUCCCUGCUCCACGAGCUUGGUGAUGCUCCCAAAUCCUUCUGUGUCACACGCAGACAUUUUUGGGGAUUACAGGAGCUUCAUCCUGAGACUUCAUCACCUACAGCAUCACAACAGCAUCACUGGGCGGCUCCAGCUGAUGGGAGAGCUGAGAAAACCCCGACUGCCAAACUCUGGCUGUGCUCUAACAUAUUCCAGCACAGGGAUUUGUAUCUCAGGGCAUCCCAAACCACCUCCCUGAGGGUGGGGACGGGGUGACAGCACUGCCAGGUGCUGGAGCAGCUGAGCAGAGACACCCACGUCCCACAGUGCCUGUUGUGACACAGGGAUGCUUUGAGUCACACGAGCUCCCGACCCCAUUGUGUCUCUUCCGCAUGAAUUCUGCACACAGGCUCAUGAAAUAUAAAUUGGAUCCUCAAAUAUUCAA